GCGGAGGUGUGGGGACCCGGGCUUGCGUCGGAGGGGGCGGUGGGCUCACCCAUGGGCCUUUCCAAAAGCAAAGAGAAACCCAGGAAAGGUGAGGAGCAAAAGAAGGGAUCCACCUAUUCAGUUCCAAAAUCUAAGGAGAAGUUGAUGGAGAAGCAUUCCCAGGAAGCCAGGCAGGCAGACAGGGAGUCGGAGAAGCCUGUGGACAGCCUCCACCCGGGGGCCGGGACAGCCAAGCACCCGCCGCCGGCAGCUUCGCUGGAAGGUAGGAGACGGCGGGAGGGAGCGAAGCGAGGUCAGUGGCUUGGAGGAUCUGGGGCUGGGGUGAGGAGCCUACUGUAAGACCCUACCGGAUGGACACUAGUAGCAGGCACGCGCCGUAAAGAUGAAACUGGUUUGUUUUGGGAACUUUAUGUAGGAGGGCUCAGAACAGGCACGCGAUAAAAGCCAGCACCGUUGGCCGGGCGCAUUGG
rnacentral:lncRNA from 1 species